AUAUAUAGCAGGUCAUGGGUGGCACAUUGCUCUCUGAUCUCUGAGAUUUCGGAAGAGCAGCAGCGCGAAGCUGGGCACAAACCAAAGCAUGGCUCCCUUCAAAGCAAGUCACAGAGAAUGGUCCCAUGGAGGUAUUGCAUCCAGCAUCAUCUCUAAGAUCUAUCGCCGCGGAGCUCGACACAAGGAAAGUUCAGAACAAAAUCAGCAGAGAGUGACACUAGGGAUGCUUGAAGUGCGCCCUUCUCCUGGAUACGAAAAGCUUCCUGAUUUUGGUUCAUAAUUCAGACAAGCACGAGAGAAACGAGAUGAGUUAACCAAGUGGGAUCAACAUUAGAAGCCACCGACACCGACACGACCAGCUAAACGGCAAUGUCAUUGAUCCGCACGCAAAUACCAACAGGAUCUCGCAUCCGCUCCGUCUCGAUGAUACUCCGCGCUGAUCGUGGCUACGCGUCGAACCAAUUCGGCGCGACGCGAGGCUAAAGGGGAGGAGGACGGGUGGGAAAGCAGAGGAGAGGAAGCCGAACCUGUGGUGGCCGGUGCCAAGAAGAGCAGCACCGCCGCGAGCAUCACGGCGCCGCAGCAGGCCGCGGAUCUGGAGCUCCCGGUGCCGCCGCCAACCGCCAUUUCUUCGCCCGCUACUCCGCGGAUACUCUCUCUUCCGCAGGCAACAGUGAUGCGAGCAGGCUUCCGCGCCUCUGUGGACUGUACGUUUCUUUCCGCCGAUGAGCGAUGGGCGAGUAGACGCGACGGGACAACCUGUGGGGCGUUUCGACCAAAAUGCCCUCUACAGCUGUCGGGGGCGGAUGUUUUUUCGAACGCUUUAUUGAUUCCUAAGAAAGCAAGACACAAUCGAACUUCGAAUAUAAAACAAGAUUUUAAAAAAUAUCAUGGGUUUUCAAAUCAAUGCCUAUAGAUCUAUUAUUUGUAUCUUCACGGUUUCUCUAUUCAUUCAAUGACUAUUGAAGAAUACCAUGUUUGUACAAAGUUUCAUAAGUUUUGAAAAGCCCCACAAAUUGCUGACCUCAAACAAUAGAAACCUACGACCGUUGAAUAUGUCACGGCUGGGGACACACCCUUAUUACAAAGCAAGCGGUGAAACAGUCACCCUUUCGAUGAAUCAAAAAGGAAAAAGAAUAGCAACGUCAAAAGACAACCCGCGAAAACCACUAACUCCAUAAAAAUAGUCAGCGACGUCUACAUCAAUAUGAGGACGGAGUCAGCACACCAAUCUUCUAAACAAUACAAUCCCCAACGUCAAGAUGCCACGGCCGUCGGGGAUAGAUGUUCUUUUGUCCUUGUGAGAGUGAGACUUUCCAAAUUUUGCAUCAGCAAGUUUUCCCAAAUUUGAUUACCUUUGACCAUUGCUUGGUUUCACGUGAAUAUUUCGUUUUUCUUGUCCAAGUUUGGUUUCCUAGUGCCAAAUUUAAUCAUUACUACUCCGUUGUUACAUUGUUGAUUAUUACCACACUCCUUAUCACCUCAUGUCAAAAGAACUUAUAUGUACAUCAAUUGACUAUUUAUGCUUUACAUCAAUCGACCAAUCAAAAAGAUAAGCAGAGUCUUAGGCAUGUCAUGAUGGGACCUAGCAUGUCUCAACUUGUUAUCGACACAACUCUUUUGACAUGUUUUUGUUAGCAUUUUGCGGACAUAUCAUGCUAAUUACUCCCUCCGUCUCAAAAUAACUGAUUUAAAUUUGUAUAAGAAUUUAUGCAAGUACAUGCCACUUAUUUCGGAAUGGAGGGAGUAGAAAAGAAGCAUGUCUUCUCUUGUUGGAGACACAACUCUUACUCGUGGGCAUAACAAAACAAUUAUUUAUUGUAACCACGUGCAAACAUGACACCUAAUUAAAUAAUCCAAACCUUUUUAGA